CCUACGGGAGGCAGCAGUGGGGAAUAUUGGACAAUGGGCGAAAGCCUGAUCCAGCAAUGCCGCGUGUGUGAAGAAGGCCUUCGGGUUGUAAAGCCCUUUUCUGAGGGAAGAGAGAGGACGGUACCUCAGGAAUAAGUCUCGGCUAACUACGUGCCAGCAGCCGCGGUAAAACGUAGGAGGCAAGCGUUAUCCGGAUUUAUUGGGCGUAAAGCGCAUGCAGGUGGUCUCGUAAGUCGGAUGUGAAAGCCUCUAGCUUAACUGGAGGAGGUCGUUCGAUACUGCGGGACUGGAGGUCGGAAGAGGGAAGCGGAAUUCCCGGUGUAGUGGUGGAAUGCGUAGAUAUCAGGAGGAACACCGGUGGCGAAGGCGGCCCUCUGGACGGAUACUGACGCUGAGACGCGAAAGCGUGGGGAGCAAACAGGAUUAGAUACCCUGGUAGUCCACGCUGUAGACGAUGGGCACUAGGUGUCCGGGGUAUUGACCCCCUGGGUGCCGCAGCUAACGCAUUAAGUGCCCCGCCUGGGGACUACGGCCGCAAGGUUAAAACUCAAAGGAAUUGACGG
rnacentral:rRNA from 1 species